UGGCUCAGGAUGAACUCUAGCUACAGGCCUAACACAUGCAAGUCGAGGGGUAACGCGAGAGAAGCUUGCUUCUCCUGGCGACGACCGGCGAAUGGGUGAGCAACGCGUAUCCAACCUGCCCCGCGCCCGGGGACAGCCCUUGGAAAUGAGGAUAACCCCCGAUAUGCGCGAGAGCCGCAUGGCCCUCGCAUGAAACUGGACGCGGGAUGGGGAUGCGUUGGAUUAGCUAGACGGCGGGGCAGCGGCCCACCGUGGCGACGAUCCAUAGGGGUUCUGAGAGGAAGGUCCCCCACACUGGCACUGAGACACGGGCCAGACUCCUACGGGAGGCAGCAGUGAGGAAUAUUGGUCAAUGGGCGAGAGCCUGAACCAGCCAAGUAGCGUGCAGGAUGACGGCCCUACGGGUUGUAAACUGCUUUUGGGCGGGAAUAAAGAGGGGGACGUGUCCCCCGCUGCAUGUACCGCCCGAAUAAGGACCGGCUAAUUCCGUGCCAGCAGCCGCGGUAAUACGGAAGGUCCGGGCGUUAUCCGGAUUUAUUGGGUUUAAAGGGAGCGCAGGCGGGCUGUCAAGCCAGCCGUAAAAUCGCGGGGCUCAACCCCGCUCAGCGGUUGGAACUGGCGGUCUUGAUUGCGGGAGAGGAAGGCGGAACUCGUGGUGUAGCGGUGAAAUGCAUAGAUAUCACGAAGAACCCCGAUUGCGAAGGCAGCCUUCCGGCCCGUCAAUGACGCUCAUGCUCGAAGGUGCGGGUAUCAAACAGGAUUAGAUACCCUGGUAGUCCGCACAGUAAACGAUGGAUGCUCGCGGUGCGCCCCUUGUGGGUACGCCGCCAAGGGAAACCGUUAAGCAUCCCACCUGGGGAGUACGCCGGCAACGGUGAAACUCAAAGGAAUUGACGGGGGCCCGCACAAGCGGAGGAACAUGUGGUUUAAUUCGAUGAUACGCGAGGAACCUUACCCGGGCUUGAAAUGUGCCUGACGGGUCCCAGAGACGGGACCUUCCUUCGGGCAGGCAUGUAGGUGCUGCAUGGUUGUCGUCAGCUCGUGCCGUGAGGUGUCGGCUUAAGUGCCAUAACGAGCGCAACCCCCACCGCCGGUUACCAUCGGGUAAUGCCGGGGACUCCGGCGGCACUGCCAUCGCAAGAUGCGAGGAAGGCGGGGAUGACGUCAAAUCAGCACGGCCCUUACGUCCGGGGCCACACACGUGUUACAAUGGGGGGCACAGCGAGCAGGAGCAUGGCGACAUGCUUCGAAUCAUGAAUCCCCUCCCAGUUCGGACUGGAGUCUGCAACCCGACUCCACGAAGCUGGAUUCGCUAGUAAUCGCGCAUCAGCCAUGGCGCGGUGAUACGUUCCCGGGC
rnacentral:rRNA from 1 species